ACUCAAAUGAAUUGACGGGGGCCCGCACAAGCGGUGGAGCAUGUGGUUUAAUUCGAUGCAACGCGAAGAACCUUACCAAGGCUUGACAUGGAGAAGAAAACACUAGAGAUAGUGUCCCUCUUCGGAGCUUCUCACACAGGUGGUGCAUGGUUGUCGUCAGCUCGUGUCGUGAGAUGUUGGGUUAAGUCCCGCAACGAGCGCAACCCCCGCCCUUAGUUGCCAGCAAGUAAUGUUGGGCGCUCUAGGGGGACCGCCGCGGAGAACGCGGAGGAAGGCGGGGACGACGUCAAAUCAUCAUGCCCCUUAUGUCUUGGGCCACACACGUGCUACAAUGGUUCGAACAGAGUGACGCGAAGCCGCGAGGCGGAGCAAAACACAAAAACGAGCCCCAGUUCGGAUUGCGGGCUGCAACCCGCCCGCAUGAAGUUGGAAUCGCUAGUAAUCGCGGAUCAGCACGCCGCGGUGAAUACGUUCCCGGGCCUUGUACACACCGCCCGU
rnacentral:rRNA from 1 species